rnacentral:misc_RNA from 1 species
UCGCGCCUUGCGGCGGCAGUUUCACUAGAGUUCCCAGCAUUACCUGAUGGCAACUAGUGAUAGGGGUUGCGCUCGUUGCGGGACUUAACCCAGCAUCUCACGACACGAGCUGACGACAACCAUACACCACCUGUGCACGGCCCUUACGGACCCCGCAUCUCUGCGAGAUUUCCGUGCAUGUCAAGCCUAGGUAAGGUUCUUCGCGUUGCAUCGAAUUAAGCCACAUGCUCCGCCGCUUGUGCGGGUCCCCGUCAAUUCCUUUGAGUUUUAGCCUUGCGGCCGUACUCCCCAGGCGGAGUGCUUAAUGCGUUAGCUGCGGCACAGAGAGGGUUGAAGACCUCCCCACACCUAGCACUCAACGUUUACGGCUGGGACUAC